rnacentral:rRNA from 1 species
UACAGAGGGGGCAAGCGUUGUCCGGAUUUACUGGGCGUAAAGCGCACGUAGGCGGCUUUGUAAGUUAGAGGUGAAAGCCCAGGGCUUAACCCUGGAAUUGCCUUUAAGACUGCAUCGCUAGAAUUGUGGAGAGGUAAGUGGAAUUCCGAGUGUAGAGGUGAAAUUCGUAGAUAUUCGGAAGAACACCAGUGGCGAAGGCGACUUACUGGACACAUAUUGACGCUGAGGUGCGAAAGCGUGGGGAGCAAACAGG